rnacentral:rRNA from 1 species
UGUAUGGUCAAGCUACUAAGGGUAAACGGUGGAUGCCUUGGCGUCGAGCGGCGAUGAAGGACGUAGCAAGCUACGAAAAGCCUCGGGGAGCCGCAAGCAGGCUGUGAUCCGGGGAUGUCCGAAUGGGGGAACCCUACUGGGGUCAUGCCCAGUAACCUCUUGGCUGAAUACAUAGGCCUCGAGGAGCCAACCCGGGGAAGUGAACCAUCUCAGUACCCGGAGGAAGAGAAAGCAAACGCGAUUCCGUCAGUAGCGGCGAGCGAAAGCGGAUCAGCCUAAACCAUGCACGUGCCAAGCUGGCGGGCGUUGCGUGCGUGGUGUCGUGGGGUCCGAUGUGAUCCGGCUGCCACCGGGUCGAGGAGUUACAAAACGUCCAUCUAGUGGAGCGGUCUGGAACGGCCGGCCACAGAGGGUGAGAGCCCCGUACACGAAAGGUGCGACGACUCCUUAUUCGGGUCCCCGAGUACCACGGGACACGUGGAACCCUGUGGGAAUUCGGGAGGACCAUCUCCCAAGGCUAAAUACGUCUCGACGACCGAUAGUGAACCAGUACCGUGAGGGAAAGGUGAAAAGCACCCCUGUGAGGGGAGUGAAAUAGUACCUGAAACCGUUUACCUACAAGCAGUGGAAGGGCUAUGUCCUGCAGCAAUGCAGGAAAUGCCUAACCGCGUGCCUUUUGCAUAAUGAGCCGGCUAGUUACUCUCGGCGGCAAGGUUAAGCACUUUGCGAAGCCGCAGCGAAAGCGAGUCUGAAUAGGGCGAUUCAGUCGUCGGGAGUAGACGCGAAGCGGGAUGAUCUACCCUUGGCCAGGAUGAAGCGUGGGUAACACCACGUGGAGGUCCGAACUAGUGUUGGUUGAAAACAACUUGGAUGAGCUGAGGGUAGGGGUGAAAGGCCAAUCAAAUUCCGUGAUAGCUCGUUCUCCCCGAAAUAGCUUUAGGGCUAGCCUCGCGUGGUUCGUGGCGGUGGUAGAGCACUGGAUGGGUUAGGGACCUUACCCGGUUACCGACCCCAACCAAACUCCGAAUGCCGCCAACGUCAAGCGCGGGAGUCAGACGGCGGGGGAUAAGCUUCGUCGUCAAAAGGGAAAGAACCCAGACCGCCAGCUAAGGUCCCCAAGUCACGGCUAAGUGGUAAAGGAUGUGGGGUUGCUCGGACAUCCAGGAGGUUGGCUUAGAAGCAGCCAUCCUUUAAAGAAAGCGUAAUAGCUCACUGGUCUAGCGAUCCUGUGCCGAAAAUUCAACGGGGCUCAAGCCGUGCACCGAAGCUGCGGAUCUCUUCCACCCGAGGGUGGGAGAGGUGGUAGGGGAGCGUUCCAUGCGGGAUGAAGUCAGACCGUAAGGACUGGUGGACCUCAUGGAAGUGACUCUGCCGGCAUAAGUAGCGAUAAAGCAGACGAGAACUCUGCUCGCCGGAAGCCUAAGGUUUCCUGAGCAAGGUCAAUCCGCUCAGGGUCAGUCGGUCCCUAAGGCGAGGCCGAACGGCGUAGUCGAUGGGAAGCAGGUUAACAUUCCUGCACCACUCUGUCCUCGUUAUCACGAUGGGGUGACGCAGAAGGAUAGGUCGGACUGCCAUUGGAUGUGCAGUUUGAAGCGUGUAGGCGGGAGUGGUAGGCAAAUCCGCCGCUCCGUUAACGCCGAGACGCGAUAUCGAGGGCGCAAGCCCGCAAAGCGACUGAUUCCACGCUGCCAAGAAAAACCUCUAAGGAGAGGGCAGGGUGACCGUACCGGAAUCGGACACACGUAGGCAGGGAGAGAAUCCCGAGGCGCUUGAGUGAUCCCCCGUAAAGGAACUCGGCAAAAUUACACCGUAACUUCGGGAGAAGGUGUGCUCUUUGCCGUGUAGACCCUCGCGGUCGAAGCGGUGGAGAGUCGCAGUGAAAAGGCCCAGGCGACUGUUUACUAAAAACACAGCACUCUGCAAACGUCACAAGCGGACGUAUAGGGUGUGAAGCCUGCCCGGUGCCGGAAGGUUAAGGGGAGGGGUCAUUCCCGCGCAAGCGGGAAGAAGCUCUGAACUGAAGCCCCGGUAAACGGCGGCCGUAACUAUAACGGUCCUAAGGUAGCGAAAUUCCUUGUCGGGUAAGUUCCGACCUGCACGAAAGGCGAAACGAUCUGGGCGCUGUCUCUACGGGGGGCUCAGCGAAUUUGAAGUACCGGUGAAGAUGCCGGUUACCCGCACCUAGACGGAAAGACCCUGUGCACCUUUACUACAACUUGUCACUGGACCUUGGUGUUGUAUGUGCAGAAUAGGUGGGAGGCUGUGAAGCCGGGGCGUCAGCUUCGGUGGAGCCGUCGGUGAGAUACCACCCUUACUGCUCCGAGGUUCUAACCUAGGGCCGUGAAGCCGGCCCGGGGACAAUGGCAGGUGGGUAGUUUGACUGGGGCGGUCGCCUCACAAACUGUAACUGAGGCGCCCAAAGGUUCCCUCAGGCUGAUUGGAAACCAGCCGUAGAGUGCAAAGGCACAAGGGAGCUUGACUGCGAGACCAACAAGUCGAGCAGGGACGAAAGUCGGGCUUAGUGAUCCGGCGGUCCCGUAUGGAAGGGCCGUCGCUCAACGGAUAAAAGGUACGCCGGGGAUAACAGGCUGAUCCUGCCCAAGAGUUCACAUCGACGGCGGGGUUUGGCACCUCGAUGUCGGCUCAUCGCAUCCUGGGGCUGAAGCAGGUCCCAAGGGUUCGGCUGUUCGCCGAUUAAAGCGGUACGUGAGCUGGGUUUAGAACGUCGCGAGACAGUUCGGUCCCUAUCUGGUGUGGGCGGAGGACACUUGAGGAGAGAUGUCCUUAGUACGAGAGGACCAGGACGUACGGACCUCCAGUGUACCAGUUGUCGCGCCAGCGGCAGCGCUGGGUAGCUGUGUCCGGAAGGGAUAACCGCUGAAUGCAUCUAAGCGGGAAGCCAACUCCAAGAUUAGGUGUCCCUCCUGCAUAGCAGGACUAAAGGCCUCUGGUAGAUGACCAGUUUGAUAGGCGGGAGGUGGAAGCGCAGCGAUGCGUGUAGCUGACCCGUACUAAUCGGCCGUGCGGCUUGACCAUACACACCC